rnacentral:rRNA from 1 species
ACGAACGCUGGCGGCGUGCUUAACACAUGCAAGUCGAACGGAAAGGCCCUGCUUUUGUGGGGUGCUCGAGUGGCGAUCGGGUGAGUAACACGUGAGUAACCUGCCCUUGACUUUGGGAUAACUUCAGGAAACUGGGGCUAAUACCGGAUAGGAGCUCCUGCUGCAUGGUGGGGGUUGGAAAGUUUCGGCGGUUGGGGAUGGACUCGCGGCUUAUCAGCUUGUUGGUGGGGUAGUGGCUUACCAAGGCUUUGACGGGUAGCCGGCCUGAGAGGGUGACCGGCCACAUUGGGACUGAGAUACGGCCCAGACUCCUACGGGAGGCAGCAGUGGGGAAUAUUGCACAAUGGGCGGAAGCCUGAUGCAGCAACGCCGCGUGCGGGAUGACGGCCUUCGGGUUGUAAACCGCUUUCGCCUGUGACGAAGCGUGAGUGACGGUAAUGGGUAAAGAAGCACCGGCUAACUACGUG